ACAUCAGGCUGUCAGUGGAGUUCACAGCACGUCAGUUUCAACAUAAACCAUGUUCUCUGGAGCUCUGCUGCUGCUGUUGGCAGCUGGAUGUGUGAAGUGUGAACAGUUGACCCAGCCAGCCUCUGUGACUGUGCAGCCAGGUCAACGUCUGACCAUCACCUGUCAGGUCUCUUAUUCUCUCAGCAGCUACUACACAGCUUGGAUCAGACAGCCUGCAGGGAAAGGACUGGAGUGGAUUGGAAUGAAAUAUACAGGCGCUUCAUACUACAAAGAUUCACUGAAGAACAAGUUCAGUAUCGACUGAGAGACUUCCAGCAAG